AGCGCUUUGCUGGAUCAAGGCCAUUGGCUCCUGCACAGGUAUGUGUGCGUGUGGGUGUCCAAGGAGGGCGGUGGGUGCAGAAUUUGACUGUGACAAGUUCAGAAAUGCUUCGUCAGGAGAAAUAAAGAGUGCUGUAAGGUGAGAGCCAUCCCUACCUGACUGGAGUCGGAGAUGCAGUUGCUGUUGCUGCUGAUCUGUGCCGGAGCCUCAUAGGGUGGGGAAGAAGCUUGAAAACUUAAUUCAAGGACCAAGUAGCAAACACAAAGAGCACAUGGUAACCUAUAACAUCACCACCUGACCGGUAAGGCUGUUCCAUGAUCUGGUGGGACCAGACUCAAACUUUCUGAACGCUUGCAGACAACCCUGCCCUGCCCCAUUCUGACACAGUGAGUGGUGCUUCCCUCAGGAGCUGGAAAAGCAGACGCUGCUGUGCCGAGGUGGAAUCAAAACCAAAAUGACUGAACGAAGUUCCUUUGUAAAGACUGGGAUUGCAGAAUACCCAAAUUUCACACUUUGUCCAUGAAAUGUAGGCUCUGAUAGGGCCCCAGAACAAGUAACACAAGGGUUACUUGGGUCCAAGUUGUAGAGAUGAAAAUGGUACUCUGUCCACAAUAUAAUAAUGCAUGACUACCAUUGAUGAGAACUCAUUAAUUUAAUUUCCUGGCAAUAAGGCAUCCUUAUUCACUAUACAGUCUAUGACCCUGGACAACCUGGGUGCUAUUCCCAGCCCUCCCCAGCUACAUCUCCUUGAGCAGGUUGCUUCUUCUUUCUGCGUCCUUAUUUCCCAGUGCUAUAUAUUCAGAUGAACUCCUUUAGAUAGGGUUUGUGUUUUAUUUAUUUCCUCUGCGUUGCAUCUACCAAAUGCAACGGGGCUCCACCUCGGCUGAGUUGUCAGUGUUUCUGUCCUACAAAUAAUAUGCAUCUUCCCAGAUAUAGUUAUUGCUUUCUGCAUUUGCAUUCCCACAGUCUUCUCCUUCUCUAACAGAAGGAAGCAGGCCAGAUUUGACAGUCAUAUUUAUCUCUGUUACUCCCACACCUCAAGGGAGAUCUGUUUAUUAAUGUGCCACUUCCCUUGAUAAAUUACUAAAUAGAAAGAAAAGCCUUGUACUCAUUUCUCGCUGCUCCUUCCAAUGAUUUAUGUCCACACUGCUGGUUCAGCCAUUGGUCACCGUUAAUUUGCAGAGGGAAGAAGUCCUGACGUCCAACAGAAGCCCAGCUUUCACUGGUGCAACCAGCGUGGGUGCCCUCCUGGCUGCACACAGGUGCCAGCGUUGUCACAGGUGUGCUGCAUGUGGUCUAACAGGAACUACCUGCAUUUCAGCAACCAGCAAAAUGAUUAUUGUAAAGUUCUUACAUUCUAGCACUCUGGGAAGAAAAGAGCUCUCUGAAUGAGAGAUGCUGUAAGACAGUGACUCAUUAGGGUUUUAUGCAUGCUACCCGUAUUCUUGUCUCAGAAAAACACCAUAAGCGGAUACCUUAUUAAAUUAUCUGUUCAACUA